GAUGAUAAAAUUGUUGAGAAUAUCCUUUUGAAUCUGUUUUUGUUUCGAGGAUGAUAAGACGGUAUUGGUCUGCAUUUUCAGAAACGAGGCCUGUGUGUGACUUCGUAGGCAUGCUGAGAUAAACACCGAACUGACCCCUGAGCAGGACAAGGACAGACAACACCAUGAGUCAGCACUUACCAAAUGUGGGAGAGCUCUGGUAUUGGGAGCUUGGAUUUUGUGAAGAAGUUUUUUGCAACAGCUCCUGGAAAAAAAAAGCAAAGAGCAACACAGAGCGGACAGGAAUGUCUUUGCUCAGUGCAGCCAUUCAUGGUCAGCUCUACACGUUUCCUCAUCUUGGCACCCAGUGACUGGAUCUUGACAGUGAUCCAUAGUUGCACUGACAGCACUCAACACAUCAUAUCUUGGAUCACCAGAAGGGUCGUCCCAUGCUUACCUUCUUCUCUACACUGGUCUCCAGGUGUCUGAAGGUGCUCCUGUCAGCUGGAGUCCAGGAGACAGAACCAGAUGCAGUCCCACACUGAGCCCCUGGAGCUUCUACGCUGGGAGGGAUGGUUGAGUAUCGCAUCUCUGGUUCAUUCUUCAGCCCAACAAAUCUGGGCAGAGCUGCCGCUUGUAUAAUGACUUCUGAUACAACUAGAAUUAUCCUGAGGGAAUUAAUCAGGCUGAGCGCCUCAGUGUGUUACUCUGCCGAGCUUUCACAGAGACACGGGAUCCAAAACAACUCAGGUCCGGUCUGUCGUGUUGGCGAGUGUGCCUGAGGUCGGCGGAGGAGGACUGAUGAUGAGAUUAUUUCAGAGACACCAGUAACAGCCUUCAGGAACCAGACUGACCGGUCAGAUCUGUGGCCUGAGGGGGAAAGUUAUUCAAGGCAGAUGGAAGAAUGCCAGAAACAUUUCAGCGCACAUAAUAUCAUCGUUGGUUUGGUGGGGCCUACCGGAUAUUAAUUAAUCAUGUGCCUGUUAACAAUGUGACUGAGGAAAUCAAGUUUGAAAAUAAGACAUGUUGGCAUGAUGAAUAUCAGAGAUACAUGAGCACUUACACGCAUUUCCUGUGUACUACAAACUACUCUGUCAUUCAGUUCUGUAAAAUAACAAAUCACUCUGAUUGCACCAUGAUAUAGCUGACAUGUGAUAGCAUAUAUUUUGUAUGUAUUCAGAGUCACUGCUGAAAAAAAAAAACAUUCACUAUAUGCAAUAAGUCCUGUACUUAAAUACUGUUUAAGGUACUAACACUUUACUUGAGCUGCAAAAAAAUUUCCAGAAUGCAUGACUUUAAUUUGCAGGUAAUGGAGUAUUCUUACAAUCACGUUUGUCUAAGUAAAGGACCUCAGUGGUGGAAGAAGUACUCAGGUGCACAGUAGUGAUGUGUUGACAGACGUGGCUGCAGAACCUGUCUGGUUGAAUGUACCUGAACGUGCCACUGCGCACAAACACAUACCAUACCACACCUCUGCAACCUGACAGCAAACUCAGGCACAGACAUUUAUUUACAGGUAAUUCUAAAAGUUCCAUGUAGGGAGUCGGUCUGCAUCAGGGGGAAAUCUUCCAACUCAACACCCUGUGUCACACUGUGCUGUGAGAAUGGCUGCUGUGCCUGUAAUCGUGUUCAUGUGAUAAAACAUUAUGGCAAAUAUUUACUUCCUUGGCAGUGAAAAUAAUGUCAGUCAGUAACAGCGUGAUCCACAGUCUGUACUCUAAGUCCACGUAAGGAGCAUAACAAUAGAUUUUAUUUUAGAGUAAGGUAAUGGGAAGCAGAGUCUUUAUCUGAAUGACUGCUGGCUUCACAGAAAGCAACAGCAGCUCAGCAGGAAGUAGCAUCAUGCUUUUACUAGCUAUCUGCUAUAAACACAGGUUCCACAUAAAGACACUUCCUUUGUAAAUCUGGUGAGUUUAGGUAUACGAUGAUUCAGCAAACACACCUCCACAUACUCUCCAUGAUGGAAAAUCCCCUUUGUUUUGACAAAUAG